AAUUCUCAGCUGCUCUGCAACGGGUUGGCGAUUUCGAUCAUGCGUCCUACACUCCGCAUCGAUCUCUUCCAUCGCUGCUUCGUGAUCCUUCCGAUCCCUGCUUCCUUAUCUUUUCGAUCUCUGCUUUACGAUCUUCUCGCCCCCUCAUCCUGUACCCAAUUUCUUUAGCCUUCAAGAGAUUUCCCUUUUUUAUUUUGGAAAUUGACGUGCUUUUCCAAUUCAUCGCCAAAACAAACCCGUGCUUCCUCCCUCUUCGUCUUCUCCUCUCGCAAUCUGCGCCCUUAGUUCUCAAUUGGAUUCACAGUAAACACCCAGAAAUUUAGAGGAUUACUUUUGAGAAGCAUUGUUGGAAACGAUCAUUGUCAACUAUCUGAUUGCAAUGGACAAAGAUUGGCUAACAUUUUCGAGACCAUCAACAGAAUACAGAGAGGGUGCACAAAAGUUUGUACAAGUAGCUAAAGAAUAUGGAGGAAAUCGAGAUAAGAUCAUUUGCCCAUGUAUAAUAUGUCAAAACCAAUGUUUUCAACUACCUGCGAUUGUGUAUGAACACUUGGUUAUAAAU